rnacentral:rRNA from 1 species
GAUGAACGCUGGCGGCGUGCCUAAUACAUGCAAGUCGAGCGAACAGACGAGGAGCUUGCUCCUCUGACGUUAGCGGCGGACGGGAGAGUAACACGUGGAUAACCUACCUAUAAGACUGGGAUAACUUCGGGAAACCGGAGCUAAUACCGGAUAAUAUAUUGAACCGCAUGGUUCAAUAGUGAAAGACGGUUUUGCUGUCACUUAUAGAUGGAUCCGCGCCGCAUUAGCUAGUUGGUAAGGUAACGGCUUACCAAGGCAACGAUGCGUAGCCGACCUGAGAGGGUGAUCGGCCACACUGGAACUGAGACACGGUCCAGACUCCUACGGGAGGCAGCAGUAGGGAAUCUUCCGCAAUGGGCGAAAGCUUGACGGAGCAACGCCGCGUGAGUGAUGAAGGUCUUCGGAUCGUAAAACUCUGUUAUUAGGGAAGAACAAAUGUGUAAGUACCUGUGCACGUCUUGACGGUACCUAAUCAGAAAGCCACGGCUAACUACGUG